UAAAGUUGUUGCAGUUAAAAAGCUCGUAGUUGAAUUUCGGGGUCAGUAGGUUGGUCAUGCCACUGGUAUGUACUGGUCUCACUGAUUCCUCCUUCCUGAUGAGCCGUAAUGCCAUUAAUUUGGUGUUGCGGG
rnacentral:rRNA from 1 species